rnacentral:rRNA from 1 species
GACGAACGCUGGCGGCGUGCCUAACACAUGCAAGUCGAACGGAAAGGCCCGGCUUUUGUGCGGUCUGGGAGUGGCGAACGGGGGAGUAUCACGUGUGUAACCUGUCCUUGUCUGUGGGAUAACUUCAGGAAACAGGGGCUAUUAUCGGGUAGGAGCUCUUGCAGCAUGGUGGGGGUUGGAAAGAUUCGGCGGUUGGGGAUGGACUCGCGGCAUAUCAGCUUGUUGGUGGGGUAGUGGCUUACCAAGGCUUUGACGGGUAGCCGGCCUGGGAGGGUGACCGGCCACAUUGGCACUGAGAUACGACCCAGACUCCAACGGGAGGCAGCGGUGGAGAAUAUUGCACGAUAGGCGGCAGCCUGAUGCAGCAUCGCCGCGUGCGGGAUGACGGCCUGCGGGUUGUAACCCGCUUUCGCCUGUGACGAAGCGUGAGUGACGGUAAUGGGUAAAGAAGCACCGGCUAACUACGUG